AGUAGGAAAUCUUUGUGUCAACAAUUGGAAGGAAAUCUCAGAUGUAGACAAGGCGACAAUUUAUAAUCAACAGUAUGAAAAAGUGAAACGGUAGUAGUGAUAGUUAGCUUCUUCAAAUUUUCCAUAGCUUGCGGAUAUCUUUAGUUUAAGCUACGAGAAAAUCUCAUAUACAAUGAAGCAUUUGGAUGUCAAUAAGUUUAGCUAUACAACGAAAGCUAAAUUCACCAGAUCCUUUGUUAGCGUCCCUCCCAAGUCCUAAAAAGCAAAAAGCACUAAGAAGGCCAUACACAAACAAAUUUGAGAAAACAAAAAAAUGUCACAUAUCCCCAUAAACUAGAACCUACAAAUGCACCAAAUACAUUGCAUGAUGAAAGAAAGAGCACAGUGCAUAAUUCAACGAACCACAACCAUAUCAUAUAUCACAGAGGAAGGGAGGAUUAUGAGAAGAGAAUGACAGACAGUAUGAUACUUAAAGAAUAGCAAGGAAGGUGAGGUUGCUCAGGUAACCGCUCAGAAUCGACAUGACUGCCGAUGCAUCUUCAAGCCUUGCGACUUUCAAAAGCUGAAUUUUCAUCACAGCAACCAGAUUUAAAUCUAAAUAUUACAUCUAAUAAGGAAUAAUUUAGUGGGAAAAUAGGGGGAAAAUAAAAAUCAAAUUUGCAUGAUGACCCUUCGCAGGAAAAUGGUCACAAGUGUUAACGGGUAAACUAGUGAAGCAAGAAAUACCUCAACCAGAAUUUCAACAGCAAAAUCAUUUGGAUCCAUCAGAAACCAUCUGUAUUUUGUUGAAACAUAUCUUGCAAUUGGACAUGUUUCACAAGCUUUGCAAAAUGAAGAAUAGAAAAAGAAAUUGAUUAAGAUAUGACUGCUCAGGUAACCGUUCAGGAUCAACAUCACUGUUGACGGUUUCACCAAGUAUAGAAACUUUCGACAUAUUCCAAGUUUCAUCACAGCAGUCCGCUUGUGGUAAUACAAAAGCAACACUAACCAAGAAGAGAGCCAAAUUAUGUGUUUUUAUUGAAUAGGUUAGAAAGAAGGGGGAUAAGAAUUAUUGAGCUUAAGAAGGAUUCAUCAAAGACGGACUUAUUUAUUGAAACAUGGGUUAUUGAACAUGUAUUUCAGAAGCACUUCAAAUGAAGACUAAAAAAGGAAGUGAUAAAAUAUGACCGCUCAGGUAACCGCUCAGGGUCAACAUUACUGUUGACGGUUUCACCAAGUAUAGAAACUUUCGACAUAUUCCAAGUUUCAUCACAGCAGUCCGCUUGUGGUAAUACAAAAGCAACACUAACCAAGAAGAGAGCCAAAUUAUGUGUUUUUAUUGAAUAGGUUAGAAAGAAGGGGGAUAAGAAUUAUUGAGCUUAAGAAGGAUUCAUCAAAGACGGACUUAUUUAUUGAAACAUGGGUUAUUGAACAUGUAUUUCAGAAGCACUUCAAAUGAAGACUAAAAAAGGAAGUGAUAAAAUAUGACCGCUCAGGUAACCGCUCAGGGUCAACAUUACUGUUGACGGUUUCAUCAAGGUGUCAAACUUUCAACAAGUUCUGAGUCUCAUCACAGCAGUCAGACUUUUG